UAAAGCUUCAAACUGGGAUUAGAUACCCCACUAUUCUUGAUUGUAAAUACAAUUAAAUUUACCAGAGUACUAUGAAUAGUUAAAAAUUUAAAACUCAAAGGGCUUGGCGGUGUUUUAGACCUAUCAGGGGAACCUGUCUCGUAAUCGACAAUCCACGUAAUAUCUAACCUUAUUUUGUAGUCAGUUUGUAUACCGUCGUCGUCAGGUAACUUUUAAAAAUGUAGAAGUUAGCAAUUAAAAUUAUUUUAAAUUAAGACGUCAGAUCAAGGUGCAGCUUAUAAUAAGGAGAGGAUGGGUUACAAUUAUAAAAAUUAUAAUUACGGAAAUUUAAAUGGAACUUAUUUUGAAGGAGGACUUGAAAGUAAACUAAGAUACAUAAAUAGUUUGAAUAAGGCUCUGAAACGUGCACACACCGCCCGUCACCCUCUGCAGUCAAAAAA
rnacentral:rRNA from 1 species